ensembl:rRNA 5S_rRNA 5S ribosomal RNA
GUCUGCAGCCAUACCACCCUGAACAUACCCAAUUGUGUCUGAUCUCGGAAGCUAAGUGGGGUUGGGCCUGGUUAGUACUUGGAUGAGAGAAAAAGGGUAUCUGCUUUCC